GAUGAAGAACGUAGCGAAAUGCGAUAAGUAGUGUGAAUUGCAGAAUUCAGUAAAUCAUCGAAUCUUUGAACGCACAUUGCGCCCCUUGGUAUCCCGAGGGGCAUGCCUGUUCGAGCGUCAUUUCACCACUCAAGCCUGGCUUGGUGUUGGGCGACGUCCUCUUUGGGGACGCGCCUCGAAACGCUCGGCGGCGUGGCACCGGCUUUAAGCGUAGCAGAAUCUUUCGCUUUGGAAGUCGGGGCCCCGUCUGCCGGAAGACCUGCUCGCAAGGUUGACCUCGGAUCAGGCAGGGAUACCCGCUGAACUUAAGCAUAUCAAUAAGCGGAGGA
rnacentral:misc_RNA from 1 species